GCCGGAAUAGCUCAGCUGGGAGAGCAACAGACUGAAGUCCAUCGGCUUUCUGGAGGUCCCGUGUUCAAUCCACGGUUCUGGCA